UCAUUCCAUUCCAUUCCGUUCCGAAUGUGUGUCUCGUCGUAUGACAUCACUAUAAGGGAUUAGAGUAUACUAAACUUUACAUAUUAUAUAGGCUACACUAACUUGACGUUUAGGCGGUUGAUUUAACUAUAAUACGUGAUGUACGUUUUUGGGGCUGGUUAAUGAAAGUGUUCCAAAACGCGACAUUAAUUUCUUGACGACUUAAUAUUAUAUAGUUUUUAAAAAUAACGCAUAUUUGUUUCAUAAAUGAAAUUAAUAUAUUUAACUUAAUAACUGUAAAAGUUUUGAAAAAUGACGAAAUUAUAACUCCAAAAAUAUAUCCAUGAUCAACAAAUUGGAUUCAAACCAGUCUUUAUCAUGAAAAAAUUAGAUCCACGAUUUAUCGUGCUAUAAGGGUUUGUUUGGAAUUAAGCAAAAAGCUACACAAUGGCUUAUCUGUGCUUUGCCCACCACGGGUAUCGAAACCCGGUUUCUAGCAGUACAAGUCCGCAGACAUAUCACUGUGCCACUGGGGGCGUAUUAUUCAGACAUCAAAUAUAAAAUAUCGCAGAUAUAAUAAAAAGAAAGAUAAAAACUUCAAAGACAAUGCGAAUCAUUAUAAUUCAUAAAUUAUUUACAAUUAUAUUUUUGUGUGGAUUUCCUGGUAUUGGAUGAUUAAUUCGAAAUAAUUUCAGCCUUUAUCGUGAUACAAUUUCUGUUUGUACCUCUUUGUUGUUUAGUAUACAGAGUAUUGAAUACGCAUAUUAAAAUGAAUUUGGAGCCUUACCAAGUCGUUAAAUACCACGUAAGAUCGUCCAGAUAUACUUUAUCUGACCACCAGCGUAUUGACAACGUCCCCGUAGCGUAGAUUACAUUGCAAAAAAUCUUCAUUGUAAAGCUAUCAUUGUCAAAGUAUUCGACUACUCCUUACAUGUUUUCCAUCAUCCAUAUAUUGUACGAAAACAGUAAUUUCUCAUCGCCUGUUUUAACUGUCUGAUCGCACAGAAAACCAUAAGUGCUGCGUCAAGCAACUUAGCCAGUAUGUUUUCGUAUGGAAAAGCAUGAAUACCCAUUUCAUUCUCCAGCUGUUUGAAGUAUGCGACAGUUGAACGGAUAUGUCCUGGAAGUAGCUUGUGUAUUCGUGACUUGUGUCACUUUUUAGACAGAAAUCGUAGUUGAUUAUUUUGCGUAAUGUUGCCUGAGCCACGUGGACGGCUUUUACCAUUGACUUAUGUGUUUGUGGAUUCUCACCUGUUACAAGACGCUGCACUUACCUUGGUUGUUGAUAUUAUUUUGUUUUCCAAUGCGAAUAAGUACAAGGGAGGUCCUAGUCUUGGAAACUUUAAAUCUCCUAUCUGGCCACAUCUAUAUGAUCUGAGUGAAUGAAUAUGUUGGAUAGGAAAAGGUUGUUACAUACCCUUUACAAAAGCGAUUAAUUUUCUGGGGCAUCACCCUACCUACAAUAUGGUAAACAAUAUCAAUAUGUAGUUCUGAUACAUUGAAUUCCAUUGCGACUUUGUAUCGGCUGUAGUUGUCACAUGACCUGCUGAUGUGCAUAUUAACAAUUGUUGUAGUAUAACGAACUUAUCCCUUUGUAUAUUUAGAUCUUCUAACAUUACCACUUAUUACUCUUUCCAAAUUUAACUCAACAAGACAGUAUGUUCACUUUUAAUUUAACAUGUUUUGUUUGUUUUUAAGUCUAAAAUUAACGUAGAAUGCUUUAAGUUUUAGCAAGAAGUUUAUCUUUCUAUUCAUGCAUUAAACGUUUUAUACUAUACUUUUAUAUCAGUUUUAUUUCAUGUUGCAACUAAAUUGUCCAUAUUGAUAGAUCAACUGCUUCUCGUCUGCAUACUGUUACAUCAUAGUAGAAAUAUACUGGCAGAUAUUUCACUUCAAACCAAUCAUAUGUUAUCAGUCUUUCCUUUACCUUUUACUAGAUAUCUUUAACUACAACUCGUAGUUUGUGACACAUUGUCUGCUUCUUAAAUGUAUAAACCAAUUUAUAACUUUUAGUUUCUUUACUUAUUUAAUGUAUUUAAGUUAUUUUAUGUUUCUCAAUAUUUUUUAAUGAUUUUACCUCCAAUGUAUUAAAGCGAUUUAGUAUUACAUUUUCACUUCAAGGAUUUUUAAUCACCUGCCACAUAUGAAGUUCAGUUAGAAUAUUGAUUUAAAUUUUGUUUGACUAGUUUAUAAAGUAAGUAAAUAUUUCUUCUAAAGUGCAUUCCUGCAUCUGUGUCUCAUUCCCUAUUCAUGACUGAAUAGGGAUGAACAUUUUCCCACUUCACAAUGCAUUAAAAUUAUUCGAUAUCAAAAUUUUUUCUUUAGCGGUAUAUUCGAUCCAACGAUCCAAGACGUUUUGUUUGCACAGUGUCUCUAUUGUUCUCUCUCCUCUCUUCUUUUAACUCUGAAAAAUGAAAAAAAAAAAAAGGAAAAUAAACUAUGAAGCAGAAUGGACUGAAGUGUAAUGCGGCCAGGGCAGCUGAUCUAAUCCAUUACACUAGAUUUGAGCUGGAGCGAGAUAUUCGCCACUGGGAUGACGACCCACCUUUUCCACCCCCAAGAUGGUAGGAAACAUUAAUAACCUGAAGUUGUCUGGUGGAAGUUCUAAAUGAUACCCGGCAUAAAGCUACAUCUGGCUGGCUGCUGUGUUUACCGAGGGGGAAUCGAAUCCCUGAUUUCAGCUUUCUAAAUCUGAAGACUCACCGCUGUUUCAUCGGAAGACGAUAAUUUGAUAGUAUAGUUGAGUAAAAUUCGAGGCAAGACUAUAGUGACAUUCUUUAUUAAAACCUUAUCGGGUAUACUCUAUUCGUCAUGUACCCCUUCUUGAAAACAUACCAACCUUUGACUAAUGAUCAUGUUUUCUUUCUAUGCGUAGUUUUCCGACUGUAAUUCAGAAAACUCAUUGGCAUUGCUAACUUCAUAUUUCUACAGUCAAGCUCCCCAGGAAAUAGAUACUUAUUUCAAAUGGGCUUGCGAUUUUACUCUUAAUGUGUACUGCGUAUACUUCUUGUUAUUAUUUACAAUGAGGAACGUUCUUUGAAGAUAUGUGUUAAAGUGUCACUCUAGCCUACAGCCGUUUCAAAAACAAAGAUAACUAAUCCACUGAUAUAAACAACAACUUCUACUGUUUAACGCUGUCUGGUUUUGUAGGUAAUAAUUAAUAGAUAAUAAAUAUGCGAUUGUUUAAUGUGAUUUAAAACAUCAGAAUUUAAUUAGAAGUAAAUUCAUAGGAUUGCCUUUGAAAUUUUGUGCUUUAUGUAAAUAAACUAGCAGAGAUCCAUAAAACA